UUUUGCUUCAACUAGAAUCCGCGGAAGUAUGUGCUCAGAAGUUCCAGUUUGCUCGGUGCUGUUGGGGGAGCUGGGGCCAGGAAGUCUCCAGAGUCGUGGUUCACACAGUACUCAGGAGAGUGAGAAGUUGCGCCAGGCUCCCUGGGUGACUUGCACCAGGGCCGGUGCAGGGCAGCCUUGCCAGAGGCCUCCUCUCCCGAGGCUACCACCAUGCCUCGAGGACAGCGUCCAUUGGUGGCCUCGUUGAGACACCGGGCUGUGACAUUGCCUUGUGCUUCUCCAGAGAAGAGUGGUGCCUCCUUGAUGAAGAUAAGAGAUGCCUGUACCUGGAUGUGAUACUGGAGAACUUUAAACUAAUAAUCUCAUUGGGUAAUACCUUCACUCUGCCAAUGGUUGCUGCUGUGGAACAGAAUAUGUGGAAACACUGAUAGAGUGUUCCUGUAAUGGUGUGAGAGACAAAGAAUCUCAACAUAGCUUUAUCUUCCCAACAAAGCAACCCCUGUGAAAUUUGUGGGCCUAUCUUGAGUCACAUUUUCCACUUGAUUGAGCAUCAGGAAGCACAAAACAGCCAGAAACUGUUGAGGUGCAGGGCAUGUGCAAAACAAUUUUAUUUCAGUACAAAGUGUCACCAGCACCAGGAGCACCAUGUGAGAGAGAAGCCUUUCGUAAGAGGUAUGGACAGGAUGUUACUUGCCAAGAGUUGCAAUUAUAAUGUUUCCCAGAAGCUUUUUACCUGUAGAGAGGUUGGACUGGACAUUCCUACUGAAUCAGAACAUCUCCAACAAGAGGCUACUCACACCAGGGACAGGUUGGAUGAAAUCUCAACUACUCCAGUGACUAUCCAAUGAAAAAAUUAUUCCACCCUGAAUGAAUGCAAAAAUACUAUUGCCUGCAACCACACAUGUGUUCAGGAAUGCAUUUCUGUGGGAAGACAGUGUUUUGUGUGCCAUGAUUGUGGAAAGUAUUCUGCUAGAAUUCCAAGUUUUUGUUAUUGCCAGAGACUUAACAGUGGAGAAAGGCCUUAUGAGUGCAGUGAAUGUAAGAAAUCUUUCAUCCAAAAAGUUGAACUUCAUUUUCAUAAGAGAGUUCAUAAUGGAAAAAGGCUUUAUGAGUGCCGUGAAUGUGAGAAAUAUUUUCACAGUACUGCUGGCCUCCAUUAUCAUCAGAGAGUUGACACAGGAGAAAGGCCUUAUGAGUGCAGUGAAUGUGGGAAAUUUUUUAAAACCAAAUCCCACCUUAAUCGUCAUCAGACAGUUCACAUAGG